UACGGAGGGUGCAAGCGUUAAUCGGAAUUACUGGGCGUAAAGCGUGCGCAGGCGGUUUGUUAAGUCUGUUGUGAAAUCCCCGAGCUCAACUUGGGAAUUGCAAUGGAUACUGGCAGGCUGGAGUAUGGUAGAGGAAGGUGGAAUUCCCGGUGUAGCAGUGAAAUGCGUAGAGAUCGGGAGGAACACCAGUGGCGAAGGCGGCCAUCUGGGACAACACUGACGCUGAAGCACGAAAGCGUGGGGAGCAAACGGG
rnacentral:rRNA from 1 species